rnacentral:rRNA from 1 species
GACGAACGCUGGCGGCGUGCUUAACACAUGCAAGUCGAACGAAGUGGUGAACGGGUGAGUAACGCGUAAUCAACCUGCCUUUCAGAGGGGGACAACAGUUGGAAACGACUGCUAAUACCGCAUACAGAAGGAGGGGAUUGAGUAUGAUUAGCUAUUUGGAGGGGUAACGGCCCACCAAGGCAAUGAUCAGUAGCCGGUCUGAGAGGAUGAACGGCCACAUUGGGACUGAGACACGGCCCAGACUCCUACGGGAGGCAGCAGUGGGGAAUCUUCCGCAAUGGACGAAAGUCUGACGGAGCAACGCCGCGUGAGUGAUGACGGCCUUCGGGUUGUAAAGCUCUGUUAAUCGGGACGCGGUACCGAAAUAGAAAGCCACGGCUAACUACGUGCCAGCCGCCGCGGUAAUAC